AAUAUUCUCUAAUCCUCCUGUCCUCCUCCUCCAUAUAAUCUUAAUCUCCCUUAAUUAGCUCUAAAUCUUGAAACUGAGAAUUUCUGUUUAUUUUCUGAAUAAAUACACAAAGGCAAAUAAGGGGAAAGGAAAAUUCUCAAUCCUAGGUUCUAUAAUCAAUUGAAUAAACUCCAAAUUGAUUCCUGAUUUUUUACCUAAAAAAAAAAUUGAUUCCUGAUUUUUUUCCCCUCAAAUAAUCAGAAACAUACAUAAAUAUAUGGAGAGAAUAAUUGGAGAGAAAUAUAAGCUUGGGCGCAAGAUCGGUGGCGGUUCGUUCGGAGUAAUAUAUCUCGCUACUCAUAUCGACACGGGUGAAAUUGUUGCGAUUAAAAUCGAAAGUAAGCAGACAAAACAUCCACAAUUAAUGUAUGAGGCGAAGUUGUAUAAUAUUCUGCAGGGCGGAAGUGGCAUUGCUAAUAUUAAAUGGCAUGGGGCAGAUGGAGAUGACAAUGUCCUUGUCCUUGACCUUCUUGGUCCUAGCCUUGAAGAUCUUUUCGUUUACUGUGGAACAAAGUUUUCUCUAAAAACAGUUCUCAUGUUGGCUGACCAGAUGAUUACGAGAAUAGAAUAUGUGCAUUCCAAAGGGUUUCUACAUAGAGAUGUCAAACCAGAUAACUUCCUAAUGGGUCUUGGAAGAAAAGCAAAUCAGGUGUAUAUUAUUGACUUUGGACUUGCGAAAAGAUACCGCGAUCCGACCACAAACCGCCACAUCCCUUACAGGGAAAAGAAAAAUUUGACUGGAACUGCUCGAUAUGCAAGCUGUAAUACUCAUUUGGGCAUUGAACAAAGUCGACGGGAUGAUUUAGAGGCUCUUGGUUAUGUUCUUUUGUACUUCUUGAGAGGAAGCCUUCCAUGGCAGGGUCUAAAAGCUGCUACAAAGAAGCAAAAGUAUGAUAAAAUAUGUGACAAAAAGGUGUCAACACCUGUUGAGGUUUUAUGCAAGUCUUAUCCUGUGGAGUUUGCAUCUUAUCUCCAUUACUGCCACUCAUUAACCUUUGAUCAACGGCCUGAUUAUGGAUUCUUGAAGCGUAUAUUCCGAGAUUUAUUUACUCGUGAAGGUUUUGUAUUUGACUAUGUAUUUGAUUGGACUAUUAUGAAGUAUCAACAAUCACAGAGGUCAAAGAUGAAUCUACAGCUACAUCAUCCGGUGUCAGCUUCUGGGUUGACCAGCACUAAAGAAUUGCCAGUGGGUUUAGAUAAGCUUCAAGCAGACAGAGGAACAAGUGAUCUGAGACAACCUAAUGGUCACAUAUCUUCUCUUUCCGGAGCUGUACGCGAUCUUAGUGCUGGUACUAUGGCAGAGAAACUAACUAUAAGCAAGGAACCACACCCCUCAUCUUCAUUUUCUCUGGCUAAUGCAUUCAAAAGAAAUAUUCCAAAACCAGGAGAGCCAAAUGAAACAGGAAAACAUGGACAUAGACACAAUAGUAAAGCUGGCCCAUCAAGCAGCUGGAUGCCAUCAUCACGCGACCUUUCUUCUGCCAAGUAAAGUGAAGUGGUAUUUGAUGGACAGCACUUAAGGCGCCAAAUGAUUUGCUCCUGUUGUGAAGUCACAUUUCUUGAAUCCUGUACAAGAUUGCUAAUUUAUUUCUUAAGGUACCGAAGUUCUUCAGAGUUUGAAUCAUGUAAGAUGGGAUUGAGGUACUUUGCAUCCAUGUAAUAUCCAGUGAUGGAGCCAUUUGUAGCCAGUGCUUUUCUGGUUAUGGCUUAUUUUGCACUUCACUACCUUUCAGAUUUUGGUAUGUGAUCAAUAUAACACCUGUGAAGCUGCUGCUUCUGAAUGCCGAAUAUAUAGCUUCUAAGGACUUCAUUCAAGGAUGGAAAGUUUUAUACUUGGUGUUUACAGGUAAAUACUUGUGCAGGCUCAUACACUGUGAAUAUGCAAAUCUGGCUAGAAGAUCAUGUAAUUUGAACUAAAUGUCCUUGUUUGGUUAAAGAAGGCAUGAGAAUUACCUUUUUGUGAUACUUCUCUAUCAUUUGGCUUGAGAAUUUAUCACUUCGGAUUCCUUCUUCAUUUCUGCGGAUCAAGCUCAAUUUUGGCCCAAACCUUUGCCCAAAAUUUUUGGGAAUCAACGUUUGCUUGGAAAGAAGCCAUAACCUUUGAACAUGCAAGGCCUAGUGUCCAAAGGAUAUACUACACGUAUAGCACCUCGUUCAGGACUAUGAUAUAAGUUUGCGAAACUUGAAACAAGGAUUAGUUGAGAUUCUUGAUUUUAAGUCCCAAAGACAAAGACAAAUUAAGGAUCGACUAUUUGAGAACUUAUGUCCAUUCUUGCAUUUGCUUAGUAUAACGCAUACAGUAAUAACCAAUCAAAGGGCUUUCUGGGUUUUUGUUUCCUUCU